GAUGAACGCUGGCGGCGUGCCUAAUACAUGCAAGUCGAGCGAACAGACGAGGAGCUUGCUCCUCUGACGUUAGCGGCGGACGGGUGAGAAACACGUGGAUAACCUACCUAUAAGACUGGGAUAACUUCGGGAAACCGGAGCUAAUACCGGAUAAUAUAUUGAACCGCAUGGUUCAAUAGUGAAAGACGGUUUUGCUGUGCCUUAUAGAUGGAUCCGCGCCGCAUUAGCUAGUUGGUAAGGUAACGGCUUACCAAGGCAACGAUGCGUAGCCGACCUGAGAGGGUGAUCGGCCACCCUGGAACUGAGACACGGUCCAGACUCCUACGGGAGGCAGCAGUAGGGAAUCUUCCGCAAUGGGCGAAAGCUUGACGGAGCAACGCCGCGUGAGUGAUGAAGGUCUUCGGAUCGUAAAACUCUGUUAUUAGGGAAGAACAAAUGUGUAAGUAACUAUGCACGUCUUGACGGUACCUAAUCAGAAAGCCACGGCUAACUACGUG
rnacentral:rRNA from 1 species